UACAGAGGGUGCAAGCGUUGUUCGGAAUUAUUGGGCGUAAAGCGCGUGUAGGCGGCCUUGCAAGUCGGGUGUGGAAUCCCUCAGCUUAACUGAGGAAGUGCGCCCGAAACUGCAGAGCUUGAGUGCCGGAGAGGGUGGCGGAAUUCCCCAAGUAGAGGUGAAAUUCGUAGAUAUGGGGAGGAACACCGGUGGCGAAGGCGGCCACCUGGCCGGUAACUGACGCUGAGACGCGAAAGCAUGGGGAGCAAACAGG
rnacentral:rRNA from 1 species